GUUCUUUUUCACGUUGUAAAACCAAAUGGUCAACAAUUAAGAAUUUGAAGUCUUAGAAAUCAGUUAUAAUUCCUUCACAAUGUGGUAGUCCCAGAGUAACAUCUGUAAGUGAAGCAAAAUAAAAAUUUAAAUAUCUUCAUCUUUAAAAAUUGGAAAUCUUGGGGCAUUUAGGGGAGGAUGAGUAGGGGUAAUGUUGAUUAGUAUGGUAAGAUAACUUUAAAAAACGUAACACUUACAGACUAUUAACAGUUUAGGGCUCCUAAUGCUUUAUUAUGAUUCAUCUCCACAUUCAGAGACUUUGCAUUUGUAGUUAAAUGUUUGAAUAUUUGACUGGCUGCUGCUUUUCCUUUUAGUUGUUACAUUAUAUGCUACUCUAGGAGGUCCAGCCAUUGUUCAUGCAUUAAAUGAAACAGAGGUGACCAACAUCAUUACUAGUAAAGAACUCUUACAAACAAAGUUGAAGGAUAUAGUUUCUUUGGUCCCACGCCUGCGGCAUAUCAUCAC
rnacentral:sRNA from 1 species